GACUGAGAACAGGUUGAUGUGAAAGAUACUGUUUUCAAGAUAGGUUUUCAAUUAGUUACUAUGGUGAGGAGCAUAAUGAGCCCAGUGUGACCAGCAUAGGACCCUAAAUAUCAAGAACAAACUGGACACCUUAGGAUAGGAGCUCAUAGCCAUAGCCUGAGGCAAAAGCUGAUACAUAGAAUAAAGUGCUGUUGUGGAAAGUAUAACAAGUGGUUAAAAGGCUCAGCUUACAGGUUCAAAAGGUAUCCAUUUUCUUGAUUUCUUGUAACUUUUUUUGUCAGUGCUGGGAAGAUUGAACUCAAGGCCCAUCACAUGUGAGACAAGUGCUGUACCGUGGAUGCCUAACCUUUGCUCUGAACUAGUCUUUCAAAAGAAGCCACUGGACCUCAUGGUUUUGUUCACAGUAACUGCAUUUAUUGGAUUAUUAUAAUAAAAUGUAUUAGCUGUUGGAAAUUAGAGUCACGAUAGAGAUAAUACAUAUGAAAUUACAUGGUUUUUUAGAGGAAAAGAAUUAUCAGCAAGGAUACUCUUUUUUUUUUAAUUCCAGGAGGGAAAAUAAGCUCUGAAGUGGAAUAUUUGGCUAGCAAGGCUCACAGAACAUCUUGCAUGUUUUAAAGCGUUCUAAGGCUGCUUCACACCCCGGCCCACGCACCCAGCUGCACUCAAAGAGCUCUUCCUCCCUUCCUCACCACCCAACAGUCUCUACCAACCUGCAUCUGCUGGCUGAGACCAGAGGGACCUCAGUUUGCCCCUUCAAGCCUUGAGGCCAGAUGGCACAUUCUACUUCAAGGACAACCUCAACUCAUGAUGCUGUGAUGUUCAACGGUGGUGCUGAGGCAGCCUCUGCAAAGCCAGUUUGGUAUGAAACGGGAGAUGUGACCAUAUCUCUAUGCUCUGACCUUUCUUCCUUAAGAAACAACUUUUGCAUUACCAGGUAAAUGCCCUUUCCAUGGAAUUUCCAUGGAACGCUGGGGACAUCCUGUGGUCAGUAUGGCUUAAGGCAGCCAUUCUUAGCAAGGCUCUCGGGGAAUAAGGAAGUCUCCCUGAAAAAUUCCAACUUCCUUUGCAAGACCAAAAAUAAAAAAAAGAAUG
rnacentral:sRNA from 1 species